rnacentral:rRNA from 1 species
UGGGGGAUAUUGCACAAUGGGGGAAACCCUGAUGCAGCGACGCCGCGUGGAGGAAGAAGGUUUUCGGAUUGUAAACUCCUGUCGUUAGGGACGAUAAUGACGGUACCUAACAAGAAAGCACCGGCUAACUACGUGCCAGCAGCCGCGGUAAAACGUAGGGUGCAAGCGUUGUCCGGAAUUACUGGGUGUAAAGGGAGCGCAGGCGGGAAGACAAGUUGGAAGUGAAAACCAUGGGCUCAACCCAUGAAUUGCUUUCAAAACUGUUUUUCUUGAGUAGUGCAGAGGUAGAUGGAAUUCCCGGUGUAGCGGUGGAAUGCGUAGAUAUCGGGAGGAACACCAGUGGCGAAGGCGGUCUACUGGGCACCAACUGACGCUGAGGCUCGAAAGCAUGGGUAGCAAACAGGAUUAGAUACCCUGGUAGUCCAUGCCGUAAACGAUGAUUACUAGGUGUUGGGGGAUUGACCCCCUCAGUGCCGCAGUUAACACAAUAAGUAAUCCACCUGGGGAGUACGACCGCAAGGUUGAAACUCAAAGGAAUUGACGGGGGCCCGCACAAGCAGUGGAGUAUGUGGUUUAAUUCGAAGCAACGCGAAGAACCUUACCAGGUCUUGACAUCCGAUGCAUAGCACAGAGAUGUGUGAAAUCCUUCGGGACAUCGAGACAGGUGGUGCAUGAUUGUCGUCAGCUCGUGUCGUGAGAUGUUGGGUUAAGUCCCGCAACGAGCGCAACCCUUAUUGCCAGUUACUACGUUAAGAGGACUCUGGCGAGACUGCCGUUGACAAAACGGAGGAAGGUGGGGAUGACGUCAAAUCAUCAUGCCCUUUAUGACCUGGGCUACACACGUACUACAAUGGCGUUAAACAAAGAGAAGCAAGACCGCGAGGUGGAGCAAAACUCAAAAACAACGUCUCAGUUCAGAUUGCAGGCUGCAACUCGCCUGCAUGAAGUCGGAAUUGCUAGUAAUCGCGGAUCAGCAUGCCGCGGUGAAUACGUUCCC